ensembl:lncRNA novel transcript
GGCUGCUACGCCCAGGACAGGGUUCUCACGGUGGAGGAAAGGACUUCUGCGGGAUACCACGCUGUGCGCCAAAAAGCCGGGCGGCUUCGGAGCCAGAGCAGCGGCUCUGCGGCGCAGGCGGCGGGUCGGGGCAGCCUUGAAGCCGGGAUCCGGCCCGAAGGGGUCUUUUUGGAGUUCCUGAGCUCAGUGCCCCAGAAGGCACAUACUUCAUAUGAAAUAUGAAGGAUUUCAUACUGCACAAGAAAAAGCCUUGAGAAAGACAGAAUUGCUUGUGGACCGUGCGUGUUCCACCCCACCUGGGCCCCAGACCGUGCUGAUCCUUGAUGAGCUCUCGGAUUCCUUGUGCAGAGUGACCGACUUGUAGAAAAUGCUGCCACAGAACUGACCUCUCUAAUAUUACUGAAGAUGAAGAUAUUUUGGAGUAGCAGAGGCCAAGUCGCAGCAUUUGCCAUCAAAGUGAAUAUGACUACCACAAAGUGAAUAUGACUACCAUAUGGCAGCAAGGCCAACGUGCCAGCCAGGGUCCUGUACACAUAGGGCAUUUCUAGAAGAAAGAUGGUUUCGAAAUGACCAGGCUGGCAGUUGGCUGAGCCAGUCUCUUAGAACCCUUUGAAGCACUGGAUGCAGGCUGAUGAGCUGCCAUAAACGUCUUUGAGUCCCAACACUGCUCAGGAACUGCAUAUCAUACCAAAGUCUGCCUGUGUGAUCCUUUAAUUUGUGAAUGUAAAAACUGAGGUGGGAGGCAAAUACUGAUGUUCUCAAAGACCCGUCUCAGCUAUUCCAUUCAAACAGAGCCCAGAAUCUUCAAAAUUCUGCUUCUUCAGCUUACCUCCUGUCUCAGGCUGGUUCCCCAGAAGCAUCCCAGAGAUGCAGAUUUGUGAGAAAGUGAUGUGUUGGGCAGUGUCCCCUGCAGGGAAGUGAGGAUGCAAGACAGUGAGAAGGAAGCCAAGCAAGAGUGCAAUGUCAAGCAAGGUCCCGUGCUUGCAGGGCACUGGCUCCUCCCACAGAGGAGAUUUGGAGACUGAGAGCCCCUCCCUCCAUUGGUCAAGGGCCAUCUCAGAGGGAUGCAUGUUUCUAGGUAUCCCCCACUCUCUCUGCACACAGGUAAAGGAGACUCCAGAAGCAUGAGGGCAGCCCUCUCACAAAGAAGCAUGGGUUCUGGAUACCGAGAGUAAAAGCAAACGUGGAGCCAAGGGGUGUGAAAAUGGGAAAGGGACCCAAGGAAAUAGAGUAGUGCAUCCACCAUGAGUAAGUGCCACAGUCACUGGGUCAGCACCUGCUGUGUCCAACACCAUGCUAAGUAUCGUGGAGAGGAGAGAAGUUACUAGACUUCCCUGCUGUCAUCCUUAAUGGACUAUUGUCUCUUCCCUAGACACCUCAAACUGGGAUUUAAGGUACAUAAGCUCUCAGAAAUGGCUUCCUGGAAUUAUGGCCAUGAACAUCAGUGAACUGUUAGGGUCCGUAGUUACAUCUGGAAAAUGACUGCCGUUUCAAUACACAGGAUUAGUUACAAUAACAGCAACAGCCAUAAUAAUAAUGUGGCAGAGACUAGCUUGAUGCUCAUCACAUCUCUACCUGGGCACAUAGCAAAGUUUUCUAUUCCAGCUCCCACCCUGGAUCUCGGGUCCUAGUUCUCAACAACGAAAUGCUUCCAAGCCAAGUUAAAGCAGCCACAACUUUCAAACGAAAACCUAAAGAUCCUGUGUUGAAGACAGUGGCACCUUAAAAUGCAAGGGCAGUAUCCUUGAGUCCUCAGGUCACCAGAAAGCCACCCGAUCAGGACCAUCGACACUAGACUCUGUGUUAGUGAGAAACAAACUUGUGUUAAGCCAUCAUGAUUUUAAAGUUGUUAGCAGUCAGCUUGCUCCAAUAGGAUGAACAC